GCUAAGAAUAUUCCGCAAUGGACGAAAGUCUGACGGAGCGACGCCGCGUGGAUGAUGAAGGCCGGAAGGUUGUAAAAUCCUUUUAUGACUGAGGAAUAAGUGAAGUGAGAGAAACGCUUCAUGGUGACUGUAGGUCAUGAAUAAGCAACGGCUAAUUACGUGCCAGCAGCCGCGGUAACACGUAAGUUGCGAGCGUUGUUCGGAAUUAUUGGGCGUAAAGGGCAUGUAGGCGGUUCUGCAAGUCUGGUGUGAAAUACCGGGGCUCAACCCCGGAACUGCGUUGGAAACUGCAGAACUUGAGUCGCUGAGGGGCAGCCAGAAUUCCAGGUGUAGGGGUGAAAUCUGUAGAUAUCUGGAAGAAUACCAAUGGCGAAGGCAGGCUGCCAGCAGAUGACUGACGCUGAGGUGCGAAGGUGCGGGGAGCAAACAGG
rnacentral:rRNA from 1 species